UACAGAGGGUGCGAGCGUUGUUCGGAAUUAUUGGGCGUAAAGCGCUUGUAGGCGGCUUGUUAAGUUCCGUGUGAAAUCCCCAGGCUUAACCUGGGAAGUGCGCGGGAAACUGGCGAGCUUGAAUGCCGGAGAGGGUCGCGGAAUUCCCGGUGUAGAGGUGAAAUUCGUAGAUAUCGGGAGGAACACCAGUGGCGAAGGCGGCUCACUGGACGACUGUUGACGCUGAGGCGCGAAAGCUAGGGGAGCAAACGGG
rnacentral:rRNA from 1 species